rnacentral:rRNA from 1 species
GACGAACGCUGGCGGCGUGCUUAACACAUGCAAGUCGAACGAAGAGCGAUGGAAGCUUGCUUCUAUCAAUCUUAGUGGCGAACGGGUGAGUAACGCGUGAUCAACCUGCCCUUCAGAGGGGGACAACAGUUGGAAACGACUGCUAAUACCGCAUACGAUCUAAUCUCGGCAUCGAGGAUAGAUGAAAGGUGGCCUCUACAUGUAAGCUAUCACUGAAGGAGGGGAUUGCGUCUGAUUAGCUAGUUGGAGGGGUAACGGCCCACCAAGGCGAUGAUCAGUAGCCGGUCUGAGAGGAUGAACGGCCACAUUGGGACUGAGACACGGCCCAGACUCCUACGGGAGGCAGCAGUGGGGAAUCUUCCGCAAUGGACGAAAGUCUGACGGAGCAACGCCGCGUGAGCGAUGACGGCCUUCGGGUUGUAAAGCUCUGUUAAUCGGGACGAAAGGCCUUCUUGCGAAUAGUGAGAAGGAUUGACGGUACCGGAAUAGAAAGCCACGGCUAACUACGUG